AUUGAACGCUGGCGGCAGGCCUAACACAUGCAAGUCGAACGGUAACAGGGAUCAGCUUGCUGAUUCGCUGACGAGUGGCGGACGGGUGAGUAAUGUCUGGGAAACUGCCUGAUGGAGGGGGAUAACUACUGGAAACGGUAGCUAAUACCGCAUAACGUCGCAAGACCAAAGAGGGGGACAUUCGGGCCUCUUGCCAUCGGAUGUGCCCAGAUGGGAUUAGCUAGUAGGUGGGGUAACGGCUCACCUAGGCGACGAUCCCUAGCUGGUCUGAGAGGAUGACCAGCCACACUGGAACUGAGACACGGUCCAGACUCCUACGAGAGGCAGCAGUGGGGAAUAUUGCACAAUGGGCGCAAGCCUGAUGCAGCCAUGCCGCGUGUAUGAAGAAGGCCUUCGGGUUGUAAAGUACUUUCAGCGGGGAGGAAGGGAGUAAAGUUAAUACCUUUGCUCAUUGACGUUACCCGCAGAAGAAGCACCGGCUAACUCCGUG
rnacentral:rRNA from 1 species